rnacentral:rRNA from 1 species
GAUCAUGGCUCAGGAUUAACGCUGGCGGCGCACAUAAGACAUGCAAGUCGAACGGAAGUCGUUAUAACUCAGAACAAAGAUUUAUCUGAGGGACGAGAUAUAACAAUGGCUUUAGUGGCGGACUGGUGAGUAACACGUAAGAAACCUGCCUAUUAGAGGGGAUAACAACGAGAAAUACGUUGCUAAUACCGCAUAAGACUAGUAGUACCGCAUGGUUACGAGCUAGAAAAGGAAGGAAAUACCGCUAA